AAAUACCUGAGAUGGGGCAAGGCUAAGGUCCAGGCUGUGCUGCUAAGUGACCAAGAAGAACCGUCCCCAAUGGGCCCAGGUGCCUCAUCUCUCUGAUGGGUAUAACAGCAACUGCCAGCUUACCUCAUGGGCUUUUUGGGACAAAAUCAAGUGAAACUCUUAAAUGUGAAAUACGUUUGAAAAAGGAGAAGCAGCAUAGAAGUUAGGGGAAGAAGAGCAACUUCCUAUUCGGAGUUUCAGAGCCAGACAGCAUGUUGACGCUCAUGUUUCUGGGUCCUUUACAAAAGGCACCCCCUGGCUGCACUUCAAGCUUUCUUGUGAGAUCUUCUGAAGAUUUCAUAGCCAGAAGAGCAGCCAGAGACAGAGUCUUCAGGCAAAAACAUGAAAGGUCAUUACAGAAAACAGAAACAUCUGGAUAGAGCCAGCAGCCCAACAUUCUUACAGGUCCUCUCAGAAUUUCGCAGCACAUGCUAAACUCUGGCAGGUGGGCACAGUGGAGUAAAUGAAGACGGAGAAAUCCUCACAGCUCUUGAUUCAGCUCGUAUAAAGACAGAUUCAGUGAGACAACAAUCCAUCAAAAACCUGACUUUUUAUAACUCUUAAAAUGAAAGCUUUUUAUUCACGGAGCAUCUCUCUCACAGAACUCCACUCUUCCAUCUAAUCCACCCCCAAGGUGUCCAUACUCAACAGAUGCUAAUUCAGAGAUGCUUAAUUUCCUGUUCUCUGAGCAAGAGCUUAGGUUUUCUGCCACAUCCUCACAAAGGACCUGUCCUUUUGGAAGACUUAAAGAUGAAGUCCUUACUUUGAUAGAAGUCAGAGGUGCCAUUUGGCGUCGCUGACUUUUCCUGAAAACCCCUUUCUGCUGAACGACAAUGAUUCUGAUGUCCACGUCACCAUGAAGGCUCAGACUGACAAAGAAGAUACUGAAAAGAAAUGCUUUCCUGGCUCCCUGACCAGCUUUUCCUACGCUGCUGAGCGCACGUGGUCACGAGCUUCCUCCAUUCACCACCCCCCCAAGCUGGGUAGGGGGGCGUGGCUUCAGUUUUUAACAUUCAACCCCAUUCAGCCCACCAUCGGCACACGGCUGCUAUCUUGACGAUUUCCUUCCGAUGCUCAUUUCAAGCUUUCCCUGGUCCCUGUUUCACUGGCCCCUUUUGUCACCAGGAGCCCUCUAAUGCUUCAUGGCAACAUCUCUUGGACAAGAUAGAAACAGCAGUUCAACUCAAAUUGGGGAGAAAAGAUUCAAAAGAACCACGUGCAAUCGCUUAUAAUCUCAUUUAACCCCUGACAAAAAGGCAUUGCAAUGUCAACAGGAGAGCGUUGUACCCAGGUUGGCAUGCUCAACUGCUGUCACCCUAACACAUGGGCCGAUCUGACUCUGAGGAAGGUGGCUACGGACCCUGGACGGAAUGGAAAUAGACCGCUUCCAUUCUGCAGAAAGGCCAGGGUUCCCACUUAACGGAGAGGAAGGGCAGGAAGCAACAAGGCAGCUACUGAGCAGAGGCACCAAAACACUGGGCAAAAAUGCACAGGAAAUAGAGAUGCCUUCAUCCAAAUGAAACAGCCUGGGGAAAUCAGGGAAGUGGAAUUAAUCAUCAGAGCUGGGACCAGGUAGAUCAAUGCCCUGCUCUGUGACUUUUCUAUCCCCAAGACUGUAAACGGCUGAGGACCUGAUACAUCUAAUCUCACAAGGGCAUUACAACGGAUGCCAAAGGGAGGGAUUAAGUGCUGAGCUGACCUUGAGAGAAGCUACCACCCACCAAGCGAGCAGUACACGACUUCCUUCUGCAGCUGCAUCUGGUCCCUGAUUUAGCAUCUAAACACUGCUCUAAGAAGAUAAGGACAUAGUCAGUCAAUUCGGUCCAGUAUUAUCUGUGAUGGUGGCACCUGAGGACUGUCCUUACAGGUUAGGGAUUUACCUCAGGUAUCCUUAUAAAUAAUUAUAAAAUGUUGACCAACCCAUCAUUUUCACCAGCCUGUAUUUACUUAGAGGAAGUGAAUAGAUUUUUAAAAAAUGAAACCAGUGUUUUUUCUACUCAUCAAGGAUAAAUAAUUGGCUUCUCCAGGCAGAUGCCUUUUUACAAGGCUAUUUCAGCUGGAUUUGUAAACCAACAUUUGGAGCAAAGAUCCUUUGACCAGUUUCAAUAGGCUAAAGUCCUGAUAAAGUUCAAGCUAGCAGCCUGAUGACCCUACACAGAUGAACACUAAAGGACUGUAAUUUCACAUGCUCACAUCAGUUUGAUUUUUGGAUGAAAAUGUUCAGACCCAAAGCUGAAAGACAGAACCCUCUAUGGACAAAGUUAAUUAUUCAGUAUUCC